UUCAUURUAGUCUAGUUGGUUAGGAUACUCARCUCUCACCUGAGAGACCCGGGUUCAAGUCUCGGAAAUGGAA
rnacentral:tRNA from 1 species